rnacentral:misc_RNA from 1 species
UUUCCGUAGGUGAACCUGCGGAAGGAUCAUUAGUGAAUUGAAUAUGUUAGCGGACUUCUUCGGAGCCCCUAGCAUCAAAUCAUAUCCAUAACAUCGGUGAACUGUAAGGCUGUCUUGAGAACGACAUUGAUUAGCGCGCCUGCCCAUUUUAUACAAUAAUUAAAGUAUCAAACGUAGUCUUGUUAUAAACUAAUAAAACUUUCAACAACGGAUCUCUUGGCUCUC